ensembl:lncRNA
GUAUCAGUCUGUAGUUGUUGCUGUAACAGGUAUCAGUCUGUAGUUGAUGCUGUAGCAGGUUUCAGUCUGUAGUUGAACUGUAGUUGUUGCUGUAGCAGGUCUCAGUCUGUAGUUGUUGCUGUAUCAUGUAUCAGUCUGUAGUUGAUGCUGUAGCAGGUCUCAGUCUGUAGUUGUUGCUGUAGCAGGUAACAGUCUGUAGUUGUUGCUGUAUCAUGUAUCAGUCUGUAGUUGAUGCUGUAGCAGGUAUCAGUCUGUAGUUAUGUUGUUCCUUUGACUGAUAGUUUAACUGUAGUUUAACUGUCUGUAGUUUAACUGUCUGUAGUUUAACUGUGGUUGUUGCUGAAAGCAGAUAUCAGUCUGUAGUUGUUGCUGUAUCAUGUAUCAGUCUGUAGUUGAUGCUGUAGCAGGUCUCAGUCUGUAGUUGAUGCUGUAACAGGUAUCAGUCUGUAGUUGAACUGUAGUUGUUGCUGAAAGCAGGUAUCAGUCUGUAGUUGAACUUUGUUGUUGCUGUAUCAGGUAUCAGUCUGUAGUUGUUGCUGAAGCAGGUAUCAAUUUGUAGUUGAACUGUAGUUGUUGCUGUAACAGGUAUCAGUCUGUAGUUGUUGCUGUAACAGGUAUCAGUCUGUAGUUGUUGCUGUAGCAGGUUUCAGUCUGUAGUUGAACUGUAGUUGUUGCUGUAGCAGGUAUCAGUCUGUAGUUGUUGCUGUAGCAGGUCUCAGUCUGUAGUUGUUGCUGUAGCAGGUAACAGUCUGUAGUUGAUGCUGUAGCAGGUAUCAGUCUGUAGUUAUGUUGUUCCUUUGACUGAUAGUCUUUAGUUUAACUGUAGUUGUUGCUGAAAGCAGAUAUCAGUCUGUAGUUGUUGCUGUAGCAGGUAUCAGUCUGUAGUUGUUGCUGAAAGCAGGUUUCAGUCUGUAGUUGAACUGUAGUUGUUUCUGUAGCAGGUAUCAGUCUGUAGUUGUUGCUGUAACUGGUAUCAGUCUGUAGUUGUUGCUGUAUCAGGUAACAGUCUGUAGUUGAACUGUAGUUGUUGCCAUAGAAGGUAUCAGUCUGUAGUUGUUGCUGUAGCAGGUAUCAGUGUGUAGUUGUUGCUGUAUCAGGUAUCAGUCUGUAGUUGUUGCUGUAGCAGGUAUCAGUGUGUAGUUGUUGAUGUAUCAGGUAUCAGUCUGUAGUUGUUGCUGUAACAGGUAUCAGUUUGUAGUUGUUGCUGUAGCAGGUAUCAGUCUGUAGUUGAACUGUAGUUGUUGCUGUAGCAGGUAUCAGUCUGGAGUUGUUGCUGUAGAAGGUAUCAGUUGUUGUACUCGGGUUGAAGAUGUG